rnacentral:sRNA from 1 species
CUUGAAGGAUGUGUCGCUGGAUCCAUGGGCCUACCGGGAACGCCCCGCAUAACUGGGGGAUUCCGGGGGUCUUGAGGUCCGGCCUGGGGGAAGGACCAAAGAAGGAAAGUCCCAGGCGGAGGAGGUCAGUGCUAAAGGCUGCGGACCCCAAUCAGACACCGCACAAUAUGCCUUAAAGAAUUACCCAAAUUCUUAAUUAACCUGAUCUGCAAAUUGGAGCUCUGGAUCGUUGGAUACGGGCAAUGUUACCAUUUUUACCCACCAAUGGUUAACCAGUGGAAGAUAAGCAACAUAGGAUUCAAGAGGGGAACAGGGAUCUGUUUCUGUAUAUUCAGGAAGAUGAAGAAGUUGCUAAUUUUGGAUAACAAUUUUAUUAAAGUAUAAUAUUUUUUCUUUUGCUGAUCUACUAUCAACGAAGCUGGAAAGCAUACAGGAAAUACGUUUGAUUUUUGAGGUCUCAAACACAUGGCAACAUUUCCCCCCCUCCCUGCUCUGAGAAAGGUUCUCAGCAGCAUCGACAGGAAUGCCCCACACACAAACGGAACUCUUGCAGACCGAAAAUGUCGUGGGGAAGCUCUUGGGAUCUUGUGGAGAUAGUUUUCGCUUUUCUUUAUGUUCUAAGCCCAAAUCAUUCCAGC